AGCCAUGCGAGUCGAGAGGUUCGGUCCUCGGCGCACCGCUCAGUAACACGCGGAUAAUCUGCCCUUGGGUCGGGGAUAAUCUCGCGAAAGUGAGGAUAAUACCCGAUAGGUCUGAGAUGUUGGAAUACUCCCAGGCCUAAAGUCGAGGCGCCCAAGGAUGAGUCUGCGGCCUAUCAGGCUGUAGUGGGGGUAACGGCCCCACUAACCUAUUACGGGUACGGGUCUUGGGAGAGAUUGCCCGGAGAUGGGUUCUGAGACAUGAACCCAGGCCCUACGGGGCGCAGCAGGCGCGAAAACUUCGCACUGUGGGAAACCACGACGAGGGAAUUCCAAGUGCCUAUGUUUUACAUAGGCUGUUUAUCUGUUUAAAUUGCAGGUAGAGUAAGGGCUGGGUAAGACGGGUGCCAGCCGCCGCGGUAAUACCCGCAGCCCAAGUGGUGUUCGUUAUUAUUGGGUCUAAAACGUCCGUAGCCGGCUUAGUAAAUUCCUGGGGAAAUCGAACGGCUUAACCGUCCGAAGUCCGGGGAGACUGCUAGGCUUGGGAUCGGGGGAAGUUCGAGGUACUUUUGGGGUAGGGGUGAAAUCCUGUAAUCCUAAAAGGACCACCAGUGGC
rnacentral:rRNA from 1 species